CCGGCUCGCGGGGAUUUAUUUGCACUAACAGUAACGUAACAAAUGCGUCCAUAGCCGCGCUGACUGCAUCCAAACCGUAUUCGUUAGUUUUCGCCUUUCUUAUCCUCUCACGCCCCUCCCAUGCAUUUGAUCACAGCACCCAACAUCUCUGGUCUAACCGAAAGAAACAUAAGGUGCGCUGUCACAUGUAUGCGUGUGUUUAUACUUACUAUGCGUGCGUAACUAAAUUAGGCCUCAUCCUAGUUGCCUAUCCUGGCUAUUUAUCACGUGCUAUUUUGAGUAUGAAGGAGGCCACAUAGAAAAUAUUGCUUGCGCACAGGUUCUGUUGUUAUUACAGUGGUCUCGGGCUUCGGACGGGUUCGGACACAAACAUUUUAAUUAGUCUCGGGCUCGGGUCGGGGUUGAUCACUUUUCUGUCGGCUGAGGGCCGGGCUCGGACAGAAAAAACCGGCCCGAGCCACCCUCUAAUACAAACACACAUGUAUUGCCCGUCUUGUGGCGUUUGCUUUAUUCGCCUUAUUCACCCGGAACGUUCUAAAGACGUUGAGGGGUACACUUCAGGGGUACAUUCGGCAACGCACCAGCUGUCAUGGCGCCUCACUGUUGCGUGCCCAAAUGUUCGUCCUCAAAGAGAAAAAAAUCCUACCGUGGACAGACUUUCCACCGUUUCCCCAACGAGCAGGCACUUCGCCGUGAAUGUAUAAAUCACAUAAAGAGGGAUCCUGGUCCAUAUUUCAAGAUCAACGCUGAGACCAAGGUUUGCUAUGAGCACUUUGAGAAGCAGUGUUUUGUAAAGACUGCCCGUGGUAUCACAAAGCUUAUAAAGGAUGCCGUGCCUUCUGAGCUCUAGGAAGAGCAUUACUCAGGUGGAGCUUUCCCAUGACCAAGAGAUGAACGCUAAACUUGAUAGUUUUUUUUCUCCUCCUUCCUGCCUGCACUGUACAAAAAGUCAGUAAACAAAAACAAAUGAUUGCA